rnacentral:rRNA from 1 species
UACGUAGGGUGCGAGCGUUAUUCGGAAUUACUGGGCGUAAAGCGCGCGUAGGCGGAUCGCUAAGUCAGGGGUGAAAUCCCAGGGCUCAACCCUGGAACUGCCUUUGAUACUGACGAUCUGGAGGUCGGGAGAGGUUGGUGGAAUUCCGAGUGUAGAGGUGAAAUUCGUAGAUAUUCGGAGGAACACCAGAAGCGAAGGCGGCCAACUGGCCCGAUACUGACGCUGAGGCGCGAAAGCGUGGGGAGCAAACAGG